CAGUAUUAUGAUAGCUUACACACAUAUUGUUCAGGUAAACAUAGUGCAAGGGAAAUGAAAAUUUACCCCUUUAUUAAACCAUCUUUUAUGUAAUGAGCACAGAAAGAACCAUGGGCUUUUAAGACUGUGUUAUUCUGAUUCUUUUCUCAUCCCUUACUUCUCUUUCAGGAAAUCUUACACAAGUUUCUUUUUCUUGUUUUUUGUUGCUUUCUGAUAACUCUUUAUUUUCAGAAUCCACUUCUCUUUCCAAGCCUAUCUCUGGGAUCUGUUUCACAACCACCAAGACCAUCUCCAUAUCAUCUCUGUACAGUGACUCCCAAAUCCACCUUUGUGCAGUUCCCUAUUUCUGUCUGCCUCUGAACAUAGGAUCACUGAAUCCAGCGCCCUGCAAUUGCAGGCAAUGGUGUAAUAGACCUUUAUUAUAAAAGGUUUCAGAAAAUGAUCCUCUUACCUGCCUUCCACACACCACAAAGUCCCCUUUAUUCCUCAGGCCAAACUAUCGAUCUUUAAUACAGACAAAACCUAGAGCCUAGCAAGUGCCACAGGUAGAGAAUAAGAAAGACAAAGAGCGCCAAGACCUUCAGUCCCCAAAAUUGCAUGGAAUUUGUUAGGAAAAGUGUGCCCAGAAAAUCCUAGGCAAUGGAUCAUGUCUUUAUGCUACAGAGGAAGGAAGGAAAAUCCUAACAGCCCUUGCCAAUUUGUUCUGGGGGUAAAUUCCUUCUUGGUCCCAAAUCUGUUGAUUGUUUUAACCCAGAGACACUCAAUAUACAGUAUAUUUCACUACCAGUUUGUCCUAUUAUGUUAUUAAAAACCCCAAACAUUUCUUCAAACUCCUCUAAUCCCUUACCCCUUCCUUCUUAAUUACUGCUGAUAAUUUUAUCAUGCUUCCAAUCACCCAGGUUUAUAACCUGUGUCAUGUUUGACUCCUUUUCUCCCACCACAUAUAAACUGUUGCUUACUGGUAUUGGUUCCUAUUUUAUAACACCUGUUCUGUCCUCAAAUCCCUACUACCAAAGCCCCAGUCCAAGGCUUGGUCAUUGUAUAUGUUUCAAUUGCUGUUAAUAUUAUAAUUCUAUAAAACCAUCCUCCUUCCCUCUCUCCUUUCUGAUUCUUUCUUAGAUUCAGCUGCUAUUUUGCUUUCUUGCCCACCAGUCAGGCUGCAUCAAUUUCCUAUUUUAAUUCUUUAACUGGUCUCUUCUUCAUCAUGUUCAGUCUUCUGUCUUCACCUUCAGGGCUGUGUGCAAUUCUGUUCCUGCCUUAAUCAAUGCUUACGUCUUUGCUCCCACACAUUGUGGUCCAGCCAUACCUUCCACUAAUCACUUCCUUCCUUACCUCCUCACACUCUUCUCUAAGUGCUUUCAUUUAUGCCGCCCUUUAUUUAUGUCUGGGACAACUUGUAAACCAAAUCUGCCAAUGCCUCAUUCAAAUCUCUCCAGAAAAUUUAUUUCUCCCACAAAGUCUAUCCAAUUGAAAUUCCUCCACUAAAAUAGGUGUCAGUCCUUUAUAAUAAAAAUGUUCCUGUUUCAUAACCAAAAACAAAACCCCCAAAAACCCUAACAAGAAACUAGCUGUGGAAUUGGCUUUUGUCAGUUGCUUUCUGCCAAAAAUGAUGUGCUGGCUCUCUCAGUAUUAGAAUGGACUGCCUUCCAUAUAUUUGCCAUGUUCUUUUCUGUCCUCAGAUGCUGAGCCUCCUCAGAAGGGCUUUUAGGCCUGAUUCUGAUUUCUCAUUGCUUGUAAAAGGCUAUAACCUCACUGAUGUCAACAGAGCUAAACAGCUCCUUUGAAGAAAGGAGUACUCUCUUCUAGUACUCUCUUCUAGUACUAUCUCCAUAAUUCUGCGCCUUGCCAUAAAGAACAUGUAAAUUAAGUGCUCACACUGGUUACCAAACAAUGGGAUUCACUAUUUUUUGGGACUUUGGAACCUUGAGAAAAGAUCUUCACAUCUGCCAAGAGCAGUCAACUGCCAACCCAUGACUGGCAUCCUCAACGGGUUGGCUGAUCUCGUACGGUGGGCUUUAAAUUAGCUUCGCUGUGGGAAGGAGCCACUCUGAGUGAAGAGGAUGCUUCGCCAGCAUUCAGGGUGACAAGAGAAAGGGAUGCCCAGAACGUUGGAGCUGAACAAAUUCUGUGAUGGCCGGAGAACUACCGACAGCAGGAAAACGAAGAGUAAAAGUAGAGGGAAAAGGAUUUUAAAUCAAGGUUUAAGACUGUGUUAUGUGAACAUUUAAGCCAAAUAACAAAAAACAUUUUGGAGAUGGAAAUCGUAAAGGCUUGCCACCAGCACUCCAAUUAAGGUGUGCAAACUUCCCAACUACAACUCCUAAUAUCCUCAGGAAGUUUUGCAGCAAAAAUUAGGAAAGACAGGAAUUGACAUGCCUGAUAUUUCUAAAGGAAAACAAGGAAGAUAAAACAAACCAAAACAAACUUCCAGGCCCUCUUUAUCUCACAAAGAACUAAGCAAUUAAGUCCUAUUUGUAAAAUUAUGUUGUGUGUAAAAGAAGUCCUAGAAAUAUUUUACUACUAAAAAGAUAUACCUAAGCUUGGAGGGAUGGGGUUUUUUUGGUCCAGCCAUUCGGUUUGAAUCAAACAUAUAUAUGCCUUUGCCUCUUGAUGUCACAGUUCCUUCACUCAACAGUUAGCCAUUCAUGGGGAAGCAGCAGAGAGACAAAAUGUCAGUGAAGGAUGGAAAGAUAAGGUGGGGGAAAAAAGGGGAAAAUGUAUAGGGGGUGGAGGAAGAGAAGGGAAGAAUGGUAGCUAAUUCUUGAAUCACAUUUCUACCAACUUGUAUAUUUUUUCAGUUGCCCACCAGUGUACUUACAUUUUUAUGAAAUCAUUAGGUAUGCAGAAGUCCCACAAUAAAGUUAUACUAAUACUUGUAAAGCACUUUGAUCCUUCAGACAAAACAAGUGCUAUAGGCAUAAUCAUAACUUGUCUAUAUGUGACUAUACGGAGAUCGCUGUGGUGUUUGCAACACCCCAGAGAAGGCAAAUAUGCAUGAGACAACUGCUUCUGUGUGAGGCUAGGAAUAGUGUUGUAUAAUCAAAAUGUAAUUAGCCAAUGAGAGUUUGUUCUGAUGAGGUAACCCUGAUAAUAUAUUAACACUGGUCGGUUAUAUUGUUUCCAUGGAAACACUCAGAAGUG